rnacentral:rRNA from 1 species
CGUGGGUAACCUGCCCAAGAGAUCGGGAUAACACCUGGAAACAGAUGCUAAUACCGGAUAACAACAGAUGAUGCCUAUCAACUGUUUAAAAGAUGGUUCUGCUAUCACUCUUGGAUGGACCUGCGGUGCAUUAGCUAGUUGGUAGGGUAACGGCCUACCAAGGCGAUGAUGCAUAGCCGAGUUGAGAGACUGAUCGGCCACAUUGGGACUGAGACACGGCCCAAACUACUACGGGAGCAGCAGGA